AUGUCCCUCAGAUGGGAAAAUGGCAAAGAGAAAGGUUCCAAUCCAGUUAAAGCAACAAAUGAAGCUGGGAAAACAAUUCUGACAUCACCCCGUGAACCUCUUCAGGUGUUACUGGUUCGAUGUGUGUUCCUCUUCCAUGAUAGCAAAAAGCCCUUAAGAACUCCCCUGUGGGUCAUCAGAUUUUUUGAAAUCUAUCUCAUCUACUGCAUCUGGAGUUUCAUUACUGUGGAGGGCCGCAAAUGUAUCGUUAUCAUCCAGAAGAGCCAUUCUUUUGACUGAUUCUUAAAACUGUCCAGGUAUACAAAGUCUAAAUUUAUAGCUUCCCCUCUGAAGUAGCUAAUACCUCUGGUUGGGAGAGAAAACCAUGGCAAGUUUUCUCUGAACACAUAUUCUUUUACUGCUUCCUGUUGCCAAAACAGUGUUGACAUGAGGCUAUUUAUCAGUAGAGAAACAUUCACAUCUACCAAGUUGCAGUCAAAACAGAAUCUCACAUAGGCUUGCAAAAACGUCUGAGUGCUAAUUGACAGCACAAUAGUCAAUUUCUUCUUGGUGUGCAUGCAUGAUUUUAGUAAACAAUUACUUAGGAUUGUAAUUUUGAUAGACUGAAAAUCAUUUCAAAUUCCUUUCCAGGCUGAGCUUUGAGGAGAAUAAAAUGUUGAUAAUCUAUUAAAAUGCUUUCCCAACUGUUAUCUCUGUAUUUCUGUGUUUUAUUAACUUCACUGAUAGAGCAAAGCAUCGUUUACUCCAGAAUUUCUCGUGACUAAUGUGUGUUGUGAAAUGGUACAUCACGAGCCUUUUUCACUAAAGCAUAUAAACUCACAUCCUACAUUAAAUAGAUAUGGAGUCUUGCCAAACCUGUUCCAGCUUUUUCUCUACCUUUAAUGUAACUUAUAAAAUUAUCUACAACUGUACAGGUGAUCAGAGACUGUACUUUUUUCCAGGGCUCACACCUGCAUAUAUCAACAGUGUAUAUAGAUCCAGUAAAACUUCAAACUCUGAUUUUCCAGAGUCCUAAUUCAGCAUACAAACCACUUAUCAGUGUGGGAUCCUGGUUUCUAAGUGCUAUUGACACAAUUUAAAUAAUCUCUGAACUAGUAACCAUGGAGGGACAAAUAGACACAUUAGGAAGUUUUGAAAUAGUAUCAUUCAAUAUCAGUAUUAGAGUCAUCCAGGUAUUUUCAAUUUCUCUGUAUAGUUAUCAAAGCUGAACAGUGACAAAAAUCAAUUCAUUUGAAAUGUGGAGCUGAAGAAGAUGCCACAGAGUGCUAAAGGGACAAAUGAAUGGGUCUCCCACUCUGAACCCUCACUAGAAGCAAAAUAAUUAAACUCUGGCUAUUAGGCUACUUUGACCAUAUCCUUUUUUUCGUGUCAGGAGCGACUUGAGAAACUGCAAGUCGGUUCUGGUAAGAGAGAAUUGGCCAUCUGCAAAGACGUUGGCCAGGGGACACCCAGAUUUUUUUUAAUGUUUUACCAUCUUUGUGGGACACUUCUCUCAUGUCCCUGACCAUAUCCUGAU
rnacentral:lncRNA from 1 species